ensembl:lncRNA
CACACACACACACACAGUAUUUUAUUUUCUGCAUUUCACUUCUGCUCCAAUUGCUUCCUUUAAAAUAAACCUGCCUGUAUACUAAAUAUUGGCUCUGUGAUAAAUGGCAUGUUAUGUUUCUACAUUCUUUUAUGAUGAUGGCAGUUCAGCAGAGUUGGAGCAGACCUCCUGUCGGACAACAUCUCUAAGGCACUAUGAACCAUGUGACUGAUGAGAUGGAUAUUCGAAGAUAUUUUAGCAGAGAGAAAGAGAAGCAGCCACAGGAGAUUGGCAGGCCAGUUGAUUCUGAGCGAGCCUGUGUGAUUGAGGAUCCUAUGUAUCCAGCCUCAACCAUUCAUCAGAAGCACUGUGAAAGCAGGGAAUUCUUAGAACCAGUUUCCACGGGAUGAAAAAGGGCAUACUAUUGGAUGAUGGGGACAUACUUUUUUGAAGAAACUUUGAAGAGAUGGGAGUGUGUGCCUCACUUGGUCUUAGCUGUGUUCCAGGUUCCUGAGUGGGCUGCUUAUUUGCAUUGGCUCGCUUUGCAACAGGUUAUUAUUUAUCUGAAAUAAAAAAAAAAGUAAGCAUGCUGUUUACGCAAAUAAACUGCAUUAUUAACAUUAUUGUGAUGGUCACUGAUACUAUUAGUAAUUUAUAGGAAAAAAAUUACAAAACACAAGAACCACAUAGCACAUUUAUUGUCAAUGAUAUUUAUUUUUUUUACAUCAGACGAUUGCAAACACCUAUUUACACCAGAUAUUUACACCAGAGCUGUCUAUGUUAUAGAACAUUAAAAAAAAUAAAAUAAAAAAAAACAUCCUGGCAUCGUGAAACAUUAAGAAUGAUGUAAAUGAAACUUCAUAAUGUUUCACCUGAUUAUAUAUUUAGUCAGGAAUAAUAGUUUGGAAAAAGUCUAACUAGUAAAAUGUGUACAAGUUAUAUGAAAACUAAUACAAGUAGAUUAAUAAUAAAAAAGACUUACUCAUGUUUAUCUCUGCUAGGUCAAGC